UUAGAGUCUUUCCUCGCAGAGCAGCAGAGAGAACGUCGCAGAAGCACAACCGACGCAAGCGUUCACGUGACGACAGUGAUUUGGACACGAUCUCUGUCAUGCUGUCCGUCGUCCUUCCCCCCCCCUCCUCUCCCUCUGAGGGCGCGAGCCCUGCGGGGAGGUGUUCCGGAAGGAGCUAUAGAAAGCUACUGAUCUAUUCAGAGGAGAGAAUAAUCCCCCAGCUGUCGCGAGAGCAGCGACCUCCCGUACUUGAACCUCACACACAGUUUGCAGCCAGAUGAAGUGCUGUGCACGGUAAGAAGAAGAAGAAGUGUUUUAAUGUGCAUGUUAGUGAUGCUAAUGCUACUUCUACAGCUGCUCACAUUAAUACCUUCUAAU
rnacentral:lncRNA from 1 species